GGUGAAUCAAAGAGAAGAAAGAAGAGCGUAGGAGGCCAAAUCAGGAAGAACAAAUCUGUAGAAAGAAGGGCUCUUCAGCUUGGGCUUAUAUACGUUCCACCUCAUCUCUUUUUGCAGGUGAUAAGGACAGGAGAGAGAAGAGGGGGAGGCGAGAUCAGGAAAGGAAAAAAAAAAAAAAAGUAAAGAUAGGGCUUUUCAUCUGCCAAAAAAAAGAAGUUCACCUACCUCUCUUUCCACCCGAUGAUGGAGAGGCGGUUGAUCAACCUUGAUUUCAUUCAUAGGCUGAACUCAAUAUUUCUAAUUUGUUUAUGUAUAUCCCAGCAUCAUCUGAUUUAAGAAGUCUCAGAUUGUGGUGGAGGGGGACUGUUUUUUUAAUUGGAGUUUUGGAAUUGGAGACAAAAAAAUAUGUAGCAAGAUCAAAGAAGAAGAAAAAGGAAUCUUUCGCCCCUUCCAGUCCCUAAGUGUGAUGGCAAAGGAAACCAAAUAUAACUUGCUCUGGAAUUUGACAGAACUUAUGCAAGCUAGCACAUUUUGCUCCAUUAAACUCUGUUUUUUUUUUCUUGCCUUAAUUUUCACUGCCAAGAAUAGUUCCCCCAUUGCCAUUAUAUUUUAGUUCUCUGAUUACACCUUUUCGUUAUCAUCUUCCUACAAGAUUGCUCUGCUAUGUUUUAGUUCGUUGGCUUUAUGCCUUCCAAUUCCUACUUUGAGAGGCA